rnacentral:rRNA from 1 species
AGUGAACGCUGGCGGUAGGCCUAACACAUGCAAGUCGAACGGCAGCACAAUAAGAGCUUGCUCUUACGGGUGGCGAGUGGCGGACGGGUGAGGAAUACAUCGGAAUCUACUUUUUCGUGGGGGAUAACGUAGGGAAACUUACGCUAAUACCGCAUACGACCUACGGGUGAAAGCAGGGGAUCUUCGGACCUUGCGCGAUUGAAUGAGCCGAUGUCGGAUUAGCUAGUUGGCGGGGUAAAGGCCCACCAAGGCGACGAUCCGUAGCUGGUCUGAGAGGAUGAUCAGCCACACUGGAACUGAGACACGGUCCAGACUCCUACGGGAGGCAGCAGUGGGGAAUAUUAGACGAUGGGCGCAAGCCUGAUCCAGCCAUACCGCGUGGGUGAAGAAGGCCUUCGGGUUGUAAAGCCCUUUUGUUGGGAAAGAAAAGCAGCAGGUUAAUACCCCGCUGUUCUGACGGUACCCAAAGAAUAAGCACCGGCUAACUUCGUG